AUAAUACAUCAGUGUCUGUCUGCAAUGCAUUGCGAUCACAUCGGUGCAAUCGAGGGUUUGGGGUCUUGUUGACUUGUCAAGUUUUUUUUUUUUUAUUCUAACAGUUGUGCAAAUCACAUUUAAAAUGUUGUCAACAGUUGACGCAAGGACACGUGUGGAUGACAAUCCAGCGGAUAGUGAUGAUGGGAUAGAUGUAGUGAAUGAUAAUAUGAAAAAAUGGUGGCAAUUUCAAACUGAAUUGAUCUGGAGAAAUAUCAUCGGGAUCAUUGGCUUUCAUCUCGUUUCCCUCUAUUUUAUCAUCACAUUUGACUACAGGAAGGAGUUGUUCUUGUGUUUCUGGGCAUUCGUCAUGUGUCAAUUGAGUGGAUUUGGAGUGACCGGUGGUGCUCACAGAUUGUGGACACAUCGAGCAUACAAAGCUAAAUUACCACUACAAAUAAUUCUAGCUAUUCUGUACGCAUCCGCUGGAAUGAAUCCAAUCUACGAUUGGGUCCGGGACCACCGAGUCCACCACAAGUAUUCGGAAACCGAUGCCGAUCCCCACAACAGCAACCGAGGCUUUUGGUUUUCACACGUGGGAUGGCUCAUGAUGAAAAAACAUCCCCAAGUCCUCAAAAGAGGACGUACUCUCAACAUGAGUGACAUAAAAACCGAUCCCGUUGUCACUUUUGUCGAUCGGCACUUCACUCUCUUCAAGAUAAUCUUCUGCUUCAUAGUGCCAGUUCUGAUCCCCGUUUAUCUGUUCAAUCAAAAUUGGCGGGCUACGAUAAUUUCCGAGUUAUUCAUCAGAUACCCGAUCGUUCUGAAUGGCACAUGGUCAGUCAACAGUUUUGCCCACAUCUGGGGCAAUCGGCCAUACGACAAAUCAAUCAGACCAACCGAGAACCUCAUGGUGGCAAUAAUGAGUGUUGGAGAGGGCUGGCACAACUAUCACCACGUUUUUCCCUGGGACUACAAAGCCGCUGAACUAGGCUGUAUUUAUCUCAAUCCCACAACAGCCUGGCUAAAUCUAUUCUCAAAAAUUGGCUGGGCAUACGAUUUGAAACAGGCGUCACCCGAUCUCAUACGAAAAAUCACGAAACGACGAGGCGACGGUACACACACACACACCGAUACCCAUGAAAAUUUCAAAGAGACAUAGACUACUCUAUUAUUCCAUACCAAACACAAAGCGAUAAGAAGCCCUUAUCACUCCGUGCGAACAAGACUCACGAACGACUAAAUCGUUCUGUAUUAUUACCUACAUUAAGUUCUCUAAUAUUUUUUUUACUCUUUUGUAAUCAUCGAUCACAAUAAAGUACAAUAAAUAAUAGAAAAACGUCAAAAAAAAAAAUACGAAAUAAUAAAUCGUCACAUGUUGGAUAUCCCAAAGGAGAAGAGAAAUAAAAAUUACCGAAUAUUUUCCUUUUUAAUACCAAUUGAUUAGUAGCCAAUUGGUGAUUGGUAUUAGAGCGAUGUCAGCUGAUUCGUUAUCUCGGUUCCUGCCUUUUUUCUUCGACCGUCGAUCAUCUUCCCCUCCCCUCCCAGAACUUUAUAAAAGCAGGUUCGGGGGGUAGCGUCCCAUUCUCACAGUAAGGUCUAUCGGUUGAUGGUGAUCCCAGUGGGUUUCGACCUUCGUUGAACCAAGCACCAGGAAAGAUGACAGUUUAAUCGUAUUUCACACUGGGUGAGAGAGCACAGAAUUCAUCACAAGCACGUGGACACUGACGCCGAUCCCCACAAUAGCCUCCGUGGUUU